ACUCCUGCGGGAGGCAGCAGUGGGGAAUAUUGGACACUGGGCGCAAGCCUGAUCCAGCCAUGCCGCGUGAGUGAUGAAGGCCCUAGGGUUGUAAAGCUCUUUCACCGGUGAAGAUAAUGACGGUAACCGGAGAAGAAGCCCCGGCUAACUUCGUGCCAGCAGCCGCGGUAAUACGAAGGGGGCUAGCGUUGUUCGGAUUUACUGGGCGUAAAGCGCACGUAGGCGGACUAUUAAGUCAGGGGUGAAAUCCCGGGGCUCAACCCCGGAACUGCCUUUGAUACUGGUAGUCUUGAGUUCGAGAGAGGUGAGUGAAAUUCCGAGUGUAGAGGUGAAAUUCGUAGAUAUUCGGAGGAACACCAGUGGCGAAGGCGGCUCACUGGCUCGAUACUGACGCUGAGGUGCGAAAGCGGGGGGAGCAAACAGGAUUAGAUACCCUAGUAGUCCC
rnacentral:rRNA from 1 species